GAGAUCUGGCACUCUCUUCUGGUGUGUCUGAAGAGAGCUACAGUGUACUUAGUAAAUAAAUCUUUAAAAAAAAAAAAAAAAAAGAACGGCAUCAACAAACCUGCGAGGAGCUAGAACUCAAGGUGACCAUGGUUGUCUGACUUGAAGCAGAAACUAUUUGUUUCACAGGGGUUGCAAAUAUGGCUCAGUUGUAGAGGUAACAAUGCAUCCCACAGAGGACCUGGCUUCAGUUUCAAGUACAUACAUCAGAAGCUCAGAAGCACCUGUUCCCUCAGCUCCAGGGCAUCUGACAGCCUGUUCUGGUCUCCACAGACACCUAUAUUAAUAUGAGCACAAACCAAUCACAGAAGUACACAAAAACAUAAUUGAAAAUAAAUAUUAAA